rnacentral:rRNA from 1 species
AACGAACGCUGGCGGCAUGCCUAACACAUGCAAGUCGAACGAGACCUUCGGGUCUAGUGGCGCACGGGUGCGUCACGCGUGGGAACCUGCCCUUAGGUUCGGAAUAACUCCCCGACAGGGGUGCUAAUACCGGAUAAUGUCUUCGGCCCAAAGAUUUAUCGCCUUUGGAUGGGCCCGCGUUGGAUUCGCUAGUUGGUAGGGUAAAAGCCUACCAAGGCGACGAUCCAUAGCUGGUCUGAGAGGAUGGUCAGCCACACUUCGACUGAGACACGGCCCAGACUCCUACGGGAGGGAGCAGUGGGGAAUAUUGGACAAGGGGCGAAAGCCUGAUCCAGCUAUGCCGCGUGAGUUAUGAAGGCCUUAGGGUUGUAAAGCUCUUUUAACCGGGAUGAUAAUGACAGUACCGGGAGAAUAAGCCCCGGCUAACUACGUG